AACCCAUGGUAAGGGCACCUUCUUAGUAAGUCCUUGUAUCUUUCCCAUGCAUCGUAAAGUGUUUCUAAAUCCAUCUGUACAAAAGAAAAUAUAUCAUUACAUAAUUU
rnacentral:snoRNA from 1 species